rnacentral:rRNA from 1 species
AUUGAACGCUGGCGGCAGGCCUAACACAUGCAAGUCGAGCGGGGUUUUCGGACCUAGCGGCGGACGGGUGAGUAAUGCGUAGGAAGCUACCCGAUAGAGGGGGAUACCAGUUGGAAACGACUGUUAAUACCGCAUAAUGUCUACGGACCAAAGCGUGGGACCUUCGGGCCACAUGCUAUCGGAUGUGCCUACGUGGGAUUAGCUAGUUGGUGAGGUAAUGGCUCACCAAGGCGACGAUCCCUAGCUGGUUUGAGAGGAUGAUCAGCCACACUGGAACUGAGACACGGUCCAGACUCCUACGGGAGGCAGCAGUGGGGAAUAUUGGACAAUGGGCGCAAGCCUGAUCCAGCCAUGCCGCGUGUGUGAAGAAGGCCUUCGGGUUGUAAAGCACUUUCAGUAAGGAGGAAGCGUUGAGUGUUAAUAGUACUCAGCGUUGACGUUACUUACAGAAGAAGCACCGGCUAACUCUGUGCCAGCCGCCGCAGUAAUAC